rnacentral:rRNA from 1 species
GCUGGCGGCGUGCUUAACACAUGCAAGUCGAACGGUAACAGAUAGUACUUGUACUAUGCUGACGAGUGGCGAACGGGUGAGUAAGGUAUAGUUAAUUUGCCUCUUGGAGAGGGAUAGCCAUUGGAAACGAUGAUUAAUACCUCAUACUCCUAAUGUAGUAAGGUAUAUUAGGGAAAAGCGAUAUAGUGCCAAGAGAUAAGACUAUAUGGUAUCAGGUAGUUGGUGGGGUAAGAGCCUACCAAGCCAAUGACGCCUAGCUGGUCUGAGAGGAUGAUCAGCCACACUGGAACUGAGACACGGUCCAGACUCCUACGGGAGGCAGCAGUGGGGAAUAUUGCACAAUGGAGGAAACUCUGAUGCAGCAACGCCGCGUGGAGGAUGACGCAUUUCGGUGUGUAAACUCCUUUUAUAUAGGAAGAUAAUGACGGUACUAUAUGAAUAAGCACCGGCUAACUCCGUGCCAGCAGCCGCGGUAAUACGGAGGGUGCAAGCGUUACUCGGAAUCACUGGGCGUAAAGCGCGCGCAGGCGGGUUGGUAAGUUGGAUGUGAAAGCCUACGGCUCAACCGUAGAACUGCAUCCAAAACUGCCAGCCUAGAGUCUGGGAGAGGUGAGUGGAAUUAGUGGUGUAGGGGUAAAAUCCGUAGAGAUCACUAGGAAUACCGAAAGCGAAGGCACUCACUGGAACAGUACUGACGCUGAGGCGCGAAAGCGUGGGGAGCAAUCAGGAUUAGAUACCCUGGUAGUCCACGCCCUAAACGAUGAAUGUUAGUCGUUGCGGCGCACGUCGUCGCAGUGAUGCAGCUAACGCAUUAAACAUUCCGCCUGGGGAGUACGGUCGCAAGAUUAAAACUCAAAGGAAUAGACGGGGACCCGCACAAGUGGUGGAGCAUGUGGUUUAAUUCGAAGAUACGCGAAGAACCUUACCCGGCCUUGACAUCCCAGGAACCCUGCAGAGAUGCGGGGGUGCUACUUCGGUAGAGCCUGGUGACAGGUGCUGCACGGCUGUCGUCAGCUCGUGUCGUGAGAUGUUGGGUUAAGUCCCGCAACGAGCGCAACCCUCGUGUCCAGUUGCUAAC